UACGUAGGAGGCAAGCGUUGUCCGGAGUUACUGGGCGUAAAGCGCACGCAGGCGGUUCAGUCAGUCUGUUGGGACAGGGCACAGCUCAACUGUGUCAGGCUUACGGAAACUGCUGAACUUGAGGGCUUCAGAGGGAUGGGGAAUUCCGGGUGGAGUGGUGAAAUGCGUAGAGAUCCGGAAGAACACCAAAGGCGAAGGCGGCUCGCUGGACAGGCACUGACACUCAACUACGAAAGCGUGGGGAGCAAACAGG
rnacentral:rRNA from 1 species